CACACACAGCUAGCUCUUCAGGCCAGGCCCCCAGGGUUUCGUCCACCUCUCACCUUUGACGACGCGAAUGAAGAAUGAGGAGGUGCUGCGAUCGAACGACUGCGAGGAAACACACCCGCUCUCAUGGCAUUCCCAGUAAACUGAGAAGACGUGAUUAAACCUCAGGAUCUCCUACUAAUAGAGAAAUGUAUAACGAUUUAGCUACCAGAUCUGAAUACUGAAGGGUUGGUAGGGGACCAGAGAAUAGAGGAAGCAUUGUAGGUUCUAGAGUGGAGAAGGGACCAUCCAAAAUGGAGUUUGAAAGAGAAUUCUGGCCUUUGUGUUUAGAGUCUGGAAUUGUCAAGAGUCUGAAAGCACAGAAUAAGACUGCAGCUAGAGCAAUUUAGGCGCCAUAGUUUGUCAAAACAGGUAAGGGGAAUAAAGGGGAUGACACCAAGAGAUGUGCAAAGAAUCUGAAGAAUUCACCUGAAAAGGAUACAACCUCCUCCUGGAAGGCAGAGGAGUAAAUAGGGAAUUGGAAAUUAAUUCCUUAUUUCUGCACAUGCACAGAAUCUGGGCCCAGGUGACUUAUGGAACCUUUAUAGAGACCACGGUGACUGACACUCAUGGGAAAGGGGGUAGAGGGGCAAGAACUGACUGUUCAUCAAAAAUUAUUAGAUGAGUGUGUCCACGACACCAGGAGAUAUGUUGAAUCAUGGACAGGGACCAGCAUAUCCACUAAGCUCUAUAUAUCUUGAUGGUGCAGGAUCCAAGUGGGAUGGAACAACCAAUUCCUGCCCAUCCUCCUGCUCAAUAAUACAUGUGCUCAGAAUCUGUUCAUAAUGCAUGGUGAGACGGGAUCUCACUGUGUUGCCCAGGCUGGUCUCGAACU
rnacentral:lncRNA from 1 species